rnacentral:tRNA from 1 species
AUUAUUUUGGCAGAUUAGUGCCUUAAAUUUAGAAUUUAAAAAAGUAAAAUUUUACAAAUAAUA